AUUGAACGCUGGCGGCAGGCCUAACACAUGCAAGUCGAACGAACCCUUCGGGGUUAGAGGCGGACGGGUGAGUAACACGUGGGAACGUGCCUUUAGGUUCGGAAUAACUCAGGGAAACUUGUGCUAAUACCGAAUGUGCCCUUCGGGGGAAAGAUUUAUCGCCUUUAGAGCGGCCCGCGUCUGAUUAGCUAGUUGGUGAGGUAAUGGCUCACCAAGGCUACGAUCAGUAGCUGGUCUGAGAGGAUGACCAGCCACAUUGGGACUGAGACACGGCCCAAACUCCUACGGGAGGCAGCAGUGGGGAAUCUUGCGCAAUGGGCGAAAGCCUGACGCAGCCAUGCCGCGUGGAUGAUGAAGGUCUUAGGAUUGUAAAAUCCUUUCACCGGUGAAGAUAAUGACUGUAGCCGGAGAAGAAGCCCCGGCUAACUUCGUGCCAGCCGCCGCCGUAAGAC
rnacentral:rRNA from 1 species